rnacentral:rRNA from 1 species
AUGUCAGGAAACCUCGCAUUCCCUAGCCUGGCGGUGGCAAAGAUGAUGCGACGUUGGAACUAUCAAGAAGGCUCGGGUCUCGGUGCACAUGGGCAAGGGAUCAUCGCGCCUAUACAAUUCACCGCGCGGUGUCCAAAAGCUGGCAUCGGUCAUUGUGAGAAACCAUAUGACAACGGCUUAUACGUUCCGUCGUUGCCACAUGCGGAAGAGGAGUGGCAUAAGUGGAAGGGUCUUUCACGAGCCUUGCGGCUUGAAGUAGAGUGCUACUAAAAGAUCCUCUCACUGCUACGUGACAUGACGCUUCAAGGGGACGAUAGCGUGGAGACGGCGGCCGCAUUGGCGGUGAUCGUUAAUUCCAAGAAGGUGAUCCAGGGGAACCGCACACUAGGGAUGUGGAAGGCCACACUGCCAUCCUCCACCUUGCAGUACAUCAUCGAGCAGGUGAUCAUGCCGAGGAUGGCCAUGGAUGCACGAGAGUGGAUGCCAUCGUGGGAUCCAGACUGUCACCACUGGCUUCGCCCAUUGAUUCCUCUCAUCGGCAACUUACCACGAUCUCUUUAUGACAUUGUUGAAAGCAAGAUAAGCAAUGGCGGCUAUGAUGUUGUCUCGCCAUGGAAGGAAUACCUUGACCCAACACAGUGGGAUACCUUCAGCCAACGUCACAUCUUGCCGAAGCUAGCACGGUUCACACGGGGGCUAAGGAUCACGCCACCGAAGCAAACCGACUCCUCGUUUCGCACGUUGAUGCUAUGGGCACCUCUAGUGCAUGUUGAAGACAUGGUAUUGAUACUAGAAGCUGAGCUAUUUUUCGAUAAAUGGGAAGGUGCGCUGCGACACUGGUUGCGGGCCGCGAAACCCUCGUUUGGGGAGGCCACCGCAUGGUACACCGGCUGGAAAAAACUCUUCACGCCAGAGCUACUUGCCAACGAAUGGGUGCUCGCACAUCUCGAAGCUGGCGGUGGCAUUGUUGACAGUCUUGUAGAUUAUACUUGGUAG